AAUUGUUCGCAAUGGGCGCAAGCCUGACGACGCAACGCCGCGUGGAGGAUGAAGAUUUUCGGAUCGUAAACUCCUGUCGAAUGGGACGAAUAGAUUGCGGGUUAACAGCCCGUAGUCCUGACGGUACCGUUAAAGGAAACCCCGGCUAACUCCGUGCCAGCAGCCGCGGUAAUACGGAGGGUGCAAGCGUUAUCCGGAUUCACUGGGUUUAAAGGGUGCGUAGGCGGAUUAGAAAGUCCGUUGUGAAAUCUCUGAGCUUAACUCGGAAAUUGCGGUGGAUACUAUUAAUCUUGAAUACUGUGGAGGUUAGCGGAAUAUGUCAUGUAGCGGUGAAAUGCAUAGAUAUGACAUAGAACACCAAUUGCGAAGGCAGCUGGCUACACAGAUAUUGACGCUGAGGCACGAAAGCGUGGGGAUCAAAC
rnacentral:rRNA from 1 species